GUAUGUGUGUUUUUGUGUGUGUAUGUGUAUGUAAGUGUUGUAGUUUUCUUGAAGCAUUGUAAUAUCAAAGAAGAUAAAAAGAGAG